rnacentral:rRNA from 1 species
CGAUGAUGCCCGGCUUGCUGGGUGGAUUAGUGGCGAACGGGUGAGUAACACGUGAGUAACCUGCCCUUGACUUCGGGAUAACUCCGGGAAACCGGGGCUAAUACCGGAUAUGAGCUACCUUCGCAUGGGGGUGGUUGGAAAGUUUUUCGGUCAGGGAUGGGCUCGCGGCCUAUCAGCUUGUUGGUGGGGUGAUGGCCUACCAAGGCGACGACGGGUAGCCGGCCUGAGAGGGCGACCGGCCACACUGGGACUGAGACACGGCCCAGACUCCUACGGGAGGCAGCAGUGGGGAAUAUUGCACAAUGGGCGAAAGCCUGAUGCAGCGACGCCGCGUGAGGGAUGAAGGCCUUCGGGUUGUAACCUCUUUCAGCAGGGAAGAAGCGCAAGUGACGGUACCUGCAGAAGAAGCGCCGGCUAACUACGUGCCAGCAGCCGCGGUAAUACGUAGGGCGCAAGCGUUGUCCGGAAUUAUUGGGCGUAAAGAGCUCGUAGGCGGUUUGUCGCGUCUGGUGUGAAAACUCGAGGCUCAACCUCGAGCUUGCAUCGGGUACGGGCAGACUAGAGUGCGGUAGGGGAGACUGGAAUUCCUGGUGUAGCGGUGGAAUGCGCAGAUAUCAGGAGGAACACCGAUGGCGAAGGCAGGUCUCUGGGCCGCAACUGACGCUGAGGAGCGAAAGCAUGGGGAGCGAACAGGAUUAGAUACCCUGGUAGUCCAUGCCGUAAACGUUGGGCACUAGGUGUGGGGCUCAUUCCACGAGUUCCGUGCCGCAGCAAACGCAUUAAGUGCCCCGCCUGGGGAGUACGGCCGCAAGGCUAAAACUCAAAGGAAUUGACGGGGGCCCGCACAAGCGGCGGAGCAUGCGGAUUAAUUCGAUGCAACGCGAAGAACCUUACCAAGGCUUGACAUGCACGGGAAGCCACCAGAGAUGGUGGUCUCUUUGGACACUCGUGCACAGGUGGUGCAUGGUUGUCGUCAGCUCGUGUCGUGAGAUGUUGGGUUAAGUCCCGCAACGAGCGCAACCCUCGUCCCAUGUUGCCAGCGGGUUAUGCCGGGGACUCAUGGGAGACUGCCGGGGUCAACUCGGAGGAAGGUGGGGAUGACGUCAAAUCAUCAUGCCCCUUAUGUCUUGGGCUUCACGCAUGCUACAAUGGCCGGUACAAAGGGCUGCGAUACCGUAAGGUGGAGCGAAUCCCAAAAAGCCGGUCUCAGUUCGGAUUGGGGUCUGCAACUCGACCCCAUGAAGUCGGAGUCGCUAGUAAUCGCAGAUCAGCAACGCUGCGGUGAAUACGUUCCCGGGCCUUGUACACACCGCCCGUCAAGUCACGAAAGUCGGUAACACCCGAAGCCCAU